UAUCGACAGGGGAGCCUUUUGGCUGAGAGUAAGCAUAGCUUUUACCCUUAACCUGAUGUGGAUAAUGCCACCGUAGGAAGUUCGAGAG
rnacentral:ncRNA from 1 species